UUAAACAAUCACAUUAUUUUCAAUGUCCAAAAAUCUAUAGGCAGCACUAUUUGAAGCAUAUCCAAGAAAUACACAAGUGGCAACUCUAACACCCAAUUUUGGUCUUUUAGGGUCUAGUAGGCGGUAGCCUCACAUAAGCUAGACAACUCCAUAUUUUAAGAUAUCCCAAGUUUGGUUUAUACCCUUUCCACAAUUCAAAAGAUGUCAUUUUAAACUUCUUAUAUGACACGCGAUUUAUGAAAGUUUUGAAGAGCCCAAGGAUUUAUCUAGAUUGUAUCUAACACCUAGAGGGGGGGUGAAUAUGUAUAAUAGCCAAAACCACAAAUCUCAAUGCGAUAAAAAUAAAUGCGAAAAAUAAAAAUCACACCGAGAUUUACAUGAAAAAACUCUGACUUGGAGAAAAACCCACGGGACCAACACGCGAAAAAAUAAUUCACUAAGAGAAAAGAUUACAAGGUGAUUACCGACUCCAUGGACUCAACCUCUCUUAACCUCCUAUGAAUCUCGCGCAAUCCUCCGGGUUGUCCACGCCCUCACGUUCGAAUCCACGAACGCCACGUUCCGAAUCCACGAAACGCCUCCACUCCGAAUCCACGAAGUUCACGAUCCGAAUCCACGAACCACCGUCAAUCACGUCGAAUCCAUGACGCCGUCAUGAAGAACAUCAUGUGUAUGGUGAUCCUUCGCUUAGAGUAUUG
rnacentral:lncRNA from 1 species